AGUGAACGCUGGCGGCGUGCCUAAUACAUGCAAGUCGAACGGAGAGGCGCACGGGGGAGUAAUAUAUAGCUAAUCUGCCCCUUGCUGGAGGACAACAGACAGAAAUGACUGCUAAUACUCCAUAGCAAGGGAUGAGACUAUAUCGUAUCAGCUAGUCGGUGGGGUAACGGCCUACCGAGGCUAUGACGCGUAACUGGUCUGAGAGGAUGAUCAGUCACGUUGGAACUGAGACACGGGCCAAACUCCUUCGGGAUGCAGCAGUAGGGAAUAGUGCCCAAUGGGGGAGGCCCUGACGCAGCUACGCCGCGUGGAGGAUGACACUUUUCGGAGCGGAGACUACUGUUGUUAGGGAAGCGGUACCUAACGAAUAAGCACCGGCUAACUCCGUGCCAGCAGCCGCGGUAAUUC
rnacentral:rRNA from 1 species